rnacentral:tRNA from 1 species
GCCGGCUUAGCUCAGUUGGUAGAGCAACGGUUUUGUAAACCGUAGGUCGUCAGUUCAAGCCUGACAGCCGGCU